UUUCUCGUGGUGUCUUGUGGGAGUGGCGGUGCGAUCCCUCUCAGACUUGUGAGUCCCUGCUGGAGUCAGAAGUUUUAGGCGAAUCCCAGGCGCGCCAAGGAAAGUGCUACAAAAGCCAUCCAUCUUGCAAGCGUUGGUGCCGAGGCGCAACGCUGAGAACGCAAAUACUAAAGGGCGCUGUUCUUUCCUCGUGGAGCUCACAGUCCGCUGGGGAGACCGUGAGAUGACAGCAGAGAAACUAGCGCGAUCAGUAGUACUCAGCGCAAGGACAGCGAGCAGAGAAGGCAAACCUAGUGCUUGCUAAGGAAGACUUCACAGAGGAGGUAGUGUCAGGGCCGAGACUAGGAGAAGGAUUCUCCAGGCUUCAUACGGUAAAACUCUCUGGGAAGGAAAGGAACUCAGAGUCCCAUGCAGAAAAUUGUUCAGCUGGAGGGGUAUCAGAAAGAUGGAUUUCCAAAGCCAACUGUUUCCUGUAGUGUGUGGAUCUCUGCAAGCAGAGCCUCAUCUUUCAAUUUCAGCUACAUGAAAGAGGAAGAAAGGGAAAGAUAUAUGUCAUACGUGAUAUACUUUAUGUGGCUUUGAAGACCCCUCUUUUGUGGGGCUACGGCUAAAGAACAUAGUUCCCUGGGAUGGAAUUGGCUCUUCCUAUUUCCCUACUUCAUGAAAACUCCAGUAGAAGACCUUAGAACCUUGUCCUGGUUACAUGGAUAUGUUUACUUUGUGAAAAUUCAUCAAGCACUAUGCACGGUCAUGAUUUGUACAUUUUUUUGUAAGAUAACUUCAUUAAAAUUUACUUUUUUUAUUUUUAAAAAAAAAAAAAAAAAAAA
rnacentral:lncRNA from 1 species